GAGGGUGAAUCAAAAAAUUCUUGGAAUCAAUAUUAAAAAUGCAAAGAUUUAAAUAAUAAUAUUUUAUUUUUCUAUAUAAUCUCCCUCCAAUGCAAUGCAUUUAGAAUAACGCGGUUCUAACUUCCUUAUUCCUUGUGAAAAAAAAAAUAUUUUCUUGGCUCUCGAAAGAGUCCUCUACGGCAGCUAUAACCGCGUCAUUAUCGUGAAAUUUUGUUCCACGAAUUUCCUCUUUUAAUUUUGGAAAUAAGUGAAAAUCACUUGGGGCUAAGUCCGGAGAAUAUGGUGGGUGGUCAAGGAGAUUGAAGCCAGCACAGCGGAUUGCGUUGAGCGCAACUUCCGAUCGAUGAGCAGGAGCGUUAUCUUGAAGGAACAACACGCCCAACGACAGUUUUCCACGACGUUUUUCUUUAAUCGCUUCACGCACUUUCGGGAUUAAAUUUGCAUAAUAGGGUCCAGUAAUCGUCUGGCCUUUUGGCAUGUAAUCAAUAAAAAGGAUUCCUUCACUAUCCCAGAACACAGAGGCCAUAACUAUGCCAGCGGUAGGAGCAACUCGAAAUUUCUUGAUGGAUGGAGAGGAUGCCCGUUUCCAAGACAUGCUUUGUCUUUUAGUUUCAGGAUCAAAAUGGUGGACCCACGUUUCAUCCAUGGUGACAAGACGACGGCAAAAAUUAUCCGAAUCACGCUGGAACAUUUCGAGAUUACGCUUGGAAAUUUCCAAACGUCGCUUUUUGUUUUCGUCGGUUAACAUUCGUGGCACCCAUCUUGCAGACACUUUUUUGAACCCCAGUGAAUCAAUUAAAAUGGAUUGAAUGCUACCAAAAGAUAUCUUUAGGAUCUCAGCUAUAUGUUUUAUAGUCAUUCUUCUGUCUUCCAAAACCAGAUUCUCAACCUUUUUGACAUUUUCUUCUGUAACGGAGGUUGAAGGCCGCCUAGAACGCGGGUCAUCUUUACAGCUUGAUCUACCUCUUUUAAAUUCAGCCACCCAGUACGCAACUGUAGAAUAGGGUACAGCAUCACCCCCUAAUGUCUGCUGAAUAUCCAAAAAAAAUUUCUUUUAAUAUUUUCGCUAAUAACAUAUUUUAAUAUUUUCGCUAAUAACAUAUUGAGGGUUUGACCCUGCUUAAAUUUUGAUGUGAAGUAAUAUAUAACCCUCGUUAUAUUAUAUUCAUGUAUUGUGUUUUCACAAAUCUGAAGUACUAAAGGUACUAAAAGUGUGUACUAGUACGUUUUCCCAAUUGUACUAGUACGGUGCGCACUUGCAGAUGUCCGAUUAAGCCCAAGACUUACAUACAGAAAGACAGACAAGACAUACUUACAUACAGAAAGACGGCUUUUUAUAUUUAAGUACCAAAUGUUUUAUAAAAAUUCCACUGAACUGGCAUAAAGACUUUAUCUUUUGCCUAUUGAAAAAAGCCAGAAAACGAAAUGUCAAAGUUUUUAAUAUCUGUCAAAACUGAUUUUGUUUACAAAUUGAGGAUGAUUUUGUAGUAGUUUGUUUAAUGAAAAAGACUUAAAUUAUGACUUACACAUUAUGCCAAAUUUGCUUAAAAGGCAGGGAUAAGGUAUUACCUUUGUCGGGAAAAAAUAUUGAAAUAUACAAUCGAAUUUUAAAAGAGCCUUUAAAUGAAUCGGGAAUGUUGAUGUGUAUUUUUUGUACGAGUCUCUUGCGUAAGUUGGACAAGUUUGUGGAACAAUGUCGCAUUGCGCAGAUGAAAAUGGAUCAAGUAGUAAAAAAGGAUACUCUUAAUGUAAUAAACAACAUUGGGAUAUCACCAACAAGGAUAGAUUACAUUGGUCCGGAGAUGCAUUUAGAUGGAGAAAUAAAACCGGAGGUGAACGAUUUUGUUUAUACAACUGAUGAAGAUGAUGUACCAUUGGUAUUGUUUUGUGAAAGCAGUAUGGAGGCUACGGAAUACGAUAAUGGAAUUGUUAACACAAAUAUUAUAGACGAUGAAAAAUCAAAUACAAAACUAGAUACAAGCAAUCCAAGAAAAAAUUGUCGUAAAGUUACACAAAAGAAAGUAUUAAAAGAGGGUUUCAGUUCAAGAAUGGUUCAAGAAACUUCAGAAUACACGGUCAUUAAAUUGACAAAAGAACAGGUUUUAGAAGAGAUGAAGGAACGUUCAAAAAGCGAUAAAUAUUUACGUGCUCCGUAUAAAUGCGAAAGUUGUGUUAAAGGUUUCAACUUUGAGGAUGUCUUACAAAGUCAUAUGGAGAAACAUUUACAGAAACAAGGUGAGUACAAGUGCGAACUUUGCUCUCAGUACUGUGGGAGCGCAGUCUCCCUGCGAGGUCACAUGAAGUCUCACACCACCAGAUACAGAUGCAAGAUAUGUGGAUACAUCCGUCUCUCUCGCCAGCACGUGUUGGAGCACCAUACUAUCGUGCACACGCACGCCGCCGCCGCGUACAGCUGCGGCCGGUGUGUCUUCACCACAGAUAAACGUACAGUGAUGCAAAGACACGUGCAUGUACACGACAGCACGGCGACACACGAGUGUCAUAAAUGUGGGAAACUGUAUAAAAGUUUGGAAUCCCUGCGUGUACAUACUAUGCGUCACGACAACAAGAAGCGGUUCCAAUGCGACCAGUGUAACCUGAGCUUCGUGUACCCCACACAGUUGCACAAACACACACAAUCCGUGCACAUAAGAAGAGAUUAUUAUUGUGUUGAGUGUGAUAUCAAAUUCAAAUCUAUGGACACAUUAAAAUUACAUUUCAAAAGAGCGAAAAGACAUCGAGAUGUUACACAUAAUAACAAAAAUGAAACUAGAUGUAUAUCUCGUACAAGAUCUCGUCGAAAACAACAUAAUAAUUAAGUUAGAGAGUAAACUAUCCUCUACAUCUGUGCCAAAUUUCUUUGAGAGUCAGAAACAUCCAUGCAUAAACGGAAGAAGUAACAUACGUCUCCUGGCUCUAAGCUAGCUCCUCACCAAUUUUUAGUAAUUUCGGUAAAGCCGUUCUUGAGUAUUAGUGUAAAUAAAACGACUAUUUUAUAUACAUAUACUAGUUUUAGAUAAAUAAAUUGGAAAAAACCUUCAUGUGGGAAAGGGAUUAUAAACUACAAACUGCCAACUUUAAGGAACCAAGAUUUUCAAGAAAGUUUCUGAUAUCAGUGGCACACCAUGGCUCCUUAGUGGCAGAUCUAGAGCGUGCUACGUGUCUCACUACCGCCCUU